UGAGUUGGUUAGGCAAUCGCUGGUUUAUUGAAGCCCUCAAAUUCGCUAUGCGUAAACUAGGGGACAAGUGAACGAGAGGAAAGUCCGAGCUACACAGGGCAGAGUGCCAGGUAACACCUGGGGGGCGUGAGCCCACGACAAGUGCAACAGAGAGCAGACCGCCACUUCUUAUUUCCUCCGAAGAAGUGGUAAGGGUGAAAGGGUGUGGUAAGAGCACACCGCGUGAUUGGUAACAAUUCACGGCAAGGUAAACUCCACUCGUAGCAAGACCAAAUAGGAAUCCAACGAGUUGCCCGCUUGGGAUUCGGGUAGGUUGCUUGAGCGUAUAUGUGAAUAUACGCCUAGAGGAAUGAUUGCCCACGACAGAACUCGGCUUAUCGACCAACUCACUUU
rnacentral:RNase_P_RNA from 1 species